rnacentral:rRNA from 1 species
UACCUACGGCCCGAGUGGUGACUGUUAUUAUUGGGCCUAAAACGUCCGUAGCCGGCCCUGUAAAUGCUUGGGUAAAGCGUAUCGCUUAACGAUACGAAUUCCGAGUAGACUGCAGGGCUUGAGAGCGGGAGAAGAUACAGGUACUUCUGGGGUAGAGGUGAAAUGCUGUAAUCCUAGGGGGACCACCAGUGGCGAAGGCGUCUAUCUAGAACGAGUCUGACGGUCAGGGACGAAGCCGUGGGGCGCAAACGGG